GUGGGGAAUAUUGGACAAUGGGCGAAAGUCUGAUCCAGCCAUGCCGCGUGUGUGAAGAAGGUCUUCGGAUUGUAAAGCACUUUAAGUUGGGAGGAAGGGCAGUAAGUUAAUACCUUGCUGUUUUGACGUUACCGACAGAAUAAGCACCGGCUAACUUCGUGCCAGCAGCCGCGGUAAUACGAAGGGUGCAAGCGUUAAUCGGAAUUACUGGGCGUAAAGCGCGCGUAGGUGGUUUUGUAAGUUGGAGGUGAAAUCCCCGGGCUCAACCUGGGAACUGCCUCCAAAACUGCAUGACUAGAGUACGGUAGAGGGUAGUGGAAUUUCGUGUGUAGCGGUGAAAUGCGUAGAUAUAGGAAGGAACACCAGUGGCGAAGGCGACUACCUGGACUGAUACUGACACUGAGGUGCGAAAGCAUGGGGAGCAAACAGGAUUAGAUACUCCUGUAGUCC
rnacentral:rRNA from 1 species